GGAUUGUGGCUCAGUGGUAGAGAUCUCACCUAGCACAUUUGAGGCCCUGGGUUCAAUCCUCAGCGCCA
rnacentral:tRNA from 1 species